rnacentral:rRNA from 1 species
GAUGAACGCUGGCGGCGUGCCUAAUACAUGCAAGUCGAGCGAACAGACGAGGAUCUUGCUCCUCUUACGUUAGCGGCGGACGGGUGAUUAACACGUGUAUAACCUACCUAUAAGACUGGGAUAACUUCGCGAAACCGGAUCUAAUACCGGAUAAUAUAUUGAACCGCAUGGUUCAAUAGUGAAAGACGGUUUUGCUGUCACUUAGAGAGAGAUCCGCGCGGCAUUAGCUAGUUGGUAAGGUAACGGCUUACCAAGGCAACGAUGCGUAGCCGACCUGAGAGAGUGAUAGGCAACAUUGAAACUGAGAAACGGUCCAGACUCCUACGGGAGGCAGCAGUAGGGAAACUGCAGCAAUGGGCGAAGGCCUGACGGAGCAACGCGGCGUGGGUGAUGAAGGUCUUCGAAUCGUAAACCUCUGUUAUUAGGGAAGAACAAAUGUGUAAGUAACUAUGCACGUCUGGACGGUACCUAAGCAGAAAGACACGGCUAACUCCGU